rnacentral:rRNA from 1 species
AUUGAACGCUGGCGGCAUGCCUUACACAUGCAAGUCGAACGGUAACAGGCCGCAAGGUGCUGACGAGUGGCGAACGGGUGAGUAAUGCAUCGGAACGUGCCCAGUCGUGGGGGAUAACUGCUCGGAAGAGCAGCUAAUACCGCAUACGACCUGAGGGUGAAAGCGGGGGACCGUAAGGCCUCGCGCGAUUGGAGGGGCCGAUGUCAGGUUAGCUAGUUGGUGGGGUAAAGGCCUACCAAGGCAACGAUCUGUAGUUGGUCUGAGAGGACGACCAGCCACACUGGGACUGAGACACGGCCCAGACUCCUACGGGAGGCAGCAGUGGGGAAUUUUGGACAAUGGGCGCAAGCCUGAUCCAGCAAUGCCGCGUGCAGGAAGAAGGCCUUCGGGUUGUAAACUGCUUUUGUCAGGGAAGAAAUCUUCUGGGCUAAUACCCCGGGAGGAUGACGGUACCUGAAGAAUAAGCACCGGCUAACUACGUGCCAGCCGCCGCUGUAAGAC